CCUACGGGAGGCAGCAGUAGGGAAUAUUGCUCAAUGGGGGAAACCCUGAAGCAGCAACGCCGCGUGGAGGAUGAAGGUUUUCGGAUUGUAAACCCCUUUUGUUAGAGAAGAUAAUGACGGUAUCUAACGAAUAAGCACCGGCUAACUCCGUGCCAGCAGCCGCGGUAAUACGGAGGGUGCAAGCGUUACACGGAUGAACUGGGCGUAAAGGGCGCGUAGGCGGGAUAGCAAGUCAGAUGUGAAAUCCUAUGGCUUAACCAUAGAACUGCAUUUGAAACUGUGAGUCUAGAGUAUGUGAGAGGUAGGUGGAAUUCGUGGUGUAGGGGUGAAAUGCGUAGAUAUCAAGAGGAACACUCAUUGCGAAGGCGACCUGCUAGAACAUAACUGACGCUGAGGCGCGAAGGCGUGGGGAGCAAACAGGAUUAGAUACCCCGGUAGUC
rnacentral:rRNA from 1 species